rnacentral:rRNA from 1 species
UACGUAGGGUGCGAGCGUUAAUCGGAAUUACUGGGCGUAAAGCGUGCGCAGGCGGCGGCCCAAGUCAGGUGUGAAAUCCCCGGGCUCAACCUGGGAAUUGCGAUGGAGACUGCAAGGCUAGAAUCUGGCAGAGGGGGGUAGAAUUCCACGUGUAGCAGUGAAAUGCGUAGAGAUGUGGAGGAACACCGAUGGCGAAGGCAGCCCCCUGGGUCAAGAUUGACGCUCAUGCACGAAAGCGUGGGGAGCAAACAGG